rnacentral:rRNA from 1 species
UGGGGAAUAUUGCACAAUGGGCGCAAGUCUGAUGCAGCCAUGCCGCGUGUGUGAAGAAGGCCUUCGGGUUGUAAAGCACUUUCAGCGAGGAGGAAGGUGGUGAGCUUAAUACGCUCAUCAAUUGACGUUACUCGCAGAAGAAGCACCGGCUAACUCCGUGCCAGCAGCCGCGGUAAUACGGAGGGUGCAAGCGUUAAUCGGAAUUACUGGGCGUAAAGCGCACGCAGGCGGUUUGUUAAGUCAGAUGUGAAAUCCCCGGGCUCAACCUGGGAACUGCAUUUGAAACUGGCAAGCUAGAGUCUCGUAGAGGGGGGUAGAAUUCCAGGUGUAGCGGUGAAAUGCGUAGAGAUCUGGAGGAAUACCGGUGGCGAAGGCGGCCCCCUGGACGAAGACUGACGCUCAGGUGCGAAAAGCGUGGGGCAGCAAACAGGAUUAGAUACCCUGGUAGUCCAGCGCUGUAAAACGAUGUCGAUUUUGGAGGUUGUGCCCUUGAGGCGUGGCUUCCGGAGCUAACGCGUUAAAGUCGACCGCCUGGGGAGUACGG